rfam:Streptococcus agalactiae LMG 14747 ctg7180000010201, whole genome shotgun sequence.
GGUAUUGUUUACCCCAUUUGAAAGGCCCCGGAACCUUCCAAAUACCUUUGCGUGGGACGGAACACCCACCACAUUUGUAAACAAAAA